CUUAUUUUGUUAAACAUUUCCAAUAAAGGGGCUGAUAUGCUUAAUUUAAAUCAAAGUUUGUAGGUUGGGAUUUAUUUUGAAUUAAUGGUUCCAUAAGGGAGUUAGUUUGGUCAUUUCAUAAAAAUAAAAAGGAUUUAGGGCUUUUUUUGCCCUCAUCAUUUGUUGAGGGAUAAUGAAGCAACGAAUGAAAGCGGAUAGAACAUACAAACGGACGAUUGAAGUCAAGAAGGAAAGCAUGAAGGCUCGCAGGCAGUUAGGAAAUCCGGUUUUUUGUCGAUCGAUCGCAAGAAGGGAGCGUCUCCGGGUUUGACGAGACCGAAAAAGGAAGGGAAGAAGCAGCGAGGUUGCUCUCUUCCUGCUCCGAUAAUGAGGUGCGAAAGGAGAAGGGGAGUACCGGUCUGCUUGGAGGUAUGCGAGCAGCAACAGCAGCAAAGGCGAGGCUUCGGCGACAGUAUCUCGAUAGGAGAAGAAGAGAAGGUGCGAGGGGUAAGGCCAGAAGAGGGGGUCUGAUGGGAGGAAAACGAACAGUAGCACUCAAGUGGGGGGUGCUUGGCAGCGGAGCUCGUCGGGAAGGAAGGGAAGGUGCGACGGGGGCUGCUCCAGCAGCCUCCUUGUUGCUUCUUCUUCUAGUCUGAUAACACACAAAUAAGGGGAAGGAUGGCAGCAGCAAAGGAAAUCAAGGGAACAAGAGGAGAAACGAAGGAGGGACUUCAAGAGGAAGGAGGAAUGAUGAAUGUAGCUAUAUGAAUACACUGCAUAUCAUUCAUACUUUGUGUGUUUGUGCAAGUUGUGAGUGAAUUUGUAUGUGUUUGCGUGAAGGAGAAGGAGUACGUGAGUGAAGAAGUGAAAGAUAUGAGGUGAUCAAUUUGUGUACUAUCUCUAUCUUCACUUGAAUGAUUUUGUACAUGGAAUUGUUUGUGAGAAUGGGCUAGGAAACGUGGGGAGGAAGAGGUGGGGUGUAAUAGUCAAUUUGAGUGUAAUUUUCUGUACAAUUGAUGAGACUAGUAAUUGAGCCGUGGGUUGCUGCGGAUUGUUGUGUUAUAUUUUUGUGUAUUUGGAGUUAUAAUUAAUUAAAUAUCACAGUUUCUUGAA